CAUCAGUGAAUUUAAAAGCUUAUUUGAGCCAGUCAUUAUGUGAACCAUUCUUCUCUACAAAGGAAAAAACAAUGGAGGGAAAUUCAAUACCAACAACUAUGGCUAUGAAUCAGAAUGGAGCACACAGAGGAAGAGCAUCAUCAAGGGAUACCCAAAAGGGAAACUGGGUUGAAGAGAUGCGAGGUUCUCUAAUGGUUGUAGCAACGGUUAUUGCAACCCUAACUUUCCAAAUUGCAAUAAACCCCCCAGGGGGCGUUUGGCAACAGGACUCAAAUAACCAACAGGGUUGUGCUUCUGGGAACACCUGCAAAGCUGGCACUUCUGUUUUGGCUACUUCCUCCGAUGACGAAAACCAACGCUUGAAAUACGAAAUGUUCAUACUCUUGUGCACUGUUUCUUUCACUGCAUCACAGACUGUGAUUCUUUUUCUGCUUACUGGUUUUCAGCUGCGUAAUAGGCUGGUCAUGUGGUUGUUGAUUCUUGUUAUGUGCCUCUCGGUUAUUUGCUUGGCUGGGGCUUAUGUGAUCUCCAUUUGGAUGGUGAUGAAGCCACUUGACAAGUUGAUUAACAAAAUCACCUUGUAUUAUGCCUUGUUUUGGGCUGGAUUGGUUGCUCUGCUUUGUCUCGCACUCUUGCUUCGCUUUCUCAUCUGGCUGUUCAAGGCGUUCUACCGGUUUUUAUGUUGCUGGUAGAGUAGUCAACUCAUUCUUCCCUCAAAUAAUCAACUUAUUGAGAAUUGAAGGAAGUUGCUAUAAUGAAUAAUCAGGCCAGCCACAUUGAUCUUAGAAUGUGUUGAGGUAUAUUUUCUCUCCACAACUUGCACUAGGUUGCUGCAUUGGGGAGUAAAUAGUUGCUUAUUGGAUACAAAGGAGUUCAUAAUUAGAAUUUUGCAGCGGGAAAGUAGGGUGUCUAAAACGAGCACAGCACCUUGUUUGAUCCCUCAUCUUAUUUUCAACCAAUUAGCCUGCCGCCGGCCAGUGACAUGGCAAAUGAGUGCCACGUUGUACACCAUAAAACGAUAUUGUAUAGUUUUUGGCGCUAAAAUGCACUGAAACGACGUCGUUUGACAAAUUGAGACAGUUACGUUGAUCACUUCAUCAUAUUCUUCUAAACUUAAAACAUUUAGCAUCAUGAAAUCCUCGCACUUGUAAUUGCUGCCUAGAGUUUGAACGGUGAAACUAUCUGGUUUGGUGGAGUUCGCUCACACUCUGAGCUUCAUCCGCGAUCGUAGUCAUUGAGCUCAGAAAGAGAAAAGGUUCUUCGCAAAACACAGAGGUAAGUCUAUACUGGAUAAAAAAAAAAGUUAUAGCCUUUCGAUUUAGGUAUGCGUCAUUGUGUCUGUUUGGUCAGAAUUUUCUGUAGAUUGAUAAAAUUUUUUCACUGCUCAUUAUUUGCUAGGGUUUAUGUAUGUUUUGUGGGUAGUGGAGUGUUUUUUUCUAUGCUCUAUUUGUACAGAAGGAAAAUGAGUAUUUUCUUCGAUGCAAUUUUAUUUGGAUUGGUUGAUGGCUAUUUUUGAAAUUUUUAUUUCUGUGUGAGUAUCAUAGUCUGUUGUAUGUGUGAGUGCUAUGGCUAUUUGGAGUUCUCGUUGUUGAUCAUAUAGAACUUCCAUGAUCUUGACUCGCACAUGCAAUCAUGAUUCUGCUUUUAAUUUUAAACAAAAAUAAAAGAAGAAGAAGAUGAGGAAGAAUGUUGGUGAAGAAAGAGAAUAAGAACGAUAGAAGAGUGUUACUAAAAUUAGGGUUAAAAAUAGGUAGAGGGACUAUAUUGGAUCAACUAACUUCAAUUGCCAGCUCAGCUAGCUAUUAUAUACUCUAACGUGACAUGUCAAUGUCAUGUCACUGGCCAGCGGCAGACUAAUUGGCCAGAAAUAAGGUAAGGGACAACUAGGUACAUUUUUUACAAAUUUGGAGAUAUAAAUAGUGCAAUUGGUAAGUUAAGGACUAAAUUGGUGCAAUCCGUGAAUUUCAUUAAUUUAGGGACCACUUUCGGGUUUAACUCUAACUUGUGUGU